UUGGACCUGAUAUCAGGCAAGAUUACCCGCUGAACUUAAGCAUAUAUA
rnacentral:rRNA from 1 species